GAGAAUGUAAUUCAAUUGGCUAGAAUAGUAAGCUUUUAUCUUAUCUUAUCAGAGUUCGAGUCUCUGCGUUCUCA